UGGGUGUGUGUGAAAGAGAAAAUUGCUCUCCUUCCACUUUGACCGAGUUUGCAAAUGAAGGAGGGAGUGAAUUUGAAGAGGGACCAGCGUACACGAAAAGUCUCCCGAUGACAAACAAUGAUAUAUGAUUCGCCACACCCCUCACCAGCCUUCCAUCAGACCCUCCUUGAUUGCUUUUGCCUGGCUGGGAUGUGCAUGCCUGAACAGAGGGUCGAGAGAGGUGUGUGCAGAAACUACCAUAACUCUAUGAAGGCAAACAGGGCGCUGUCAUGGAUUGAGUUUUCUGGAAGUUUCUCAGAAAGCGGCGGACAUAUUCAGGCGGAAACUCCCGAGCGAAGUCAGCCACUAAAGAGACAUGAAGAGGGUGUUCCAUAAUUAAUGUAAUGGCAAAAGGCUUCAAGAAUAAUUGAACCAUGGAUUGUUCUGUUUUAAAGGUCAGCUGAAAUGCAAUUUUACCAUGAAAUA